GACGAACGCUGGCGGCGUGCCUAAUACAUGCAAGUCGAGCGAGACUCUUCGGAGUCUAGCGGCGGACGGGUGAGUAACACGUGGGCAACCUGCCUGUAAGACUGGGAUAACACCGGGAAACCGGUGCUAAUACCGGAUAAUCCGUUUCCUCUCAUGAGGAAAAGCUGAAAGUCGGUUUCGGCUGACACUUACAGCUGGGCCCGCGGCGCAUUAGCUAGUUGGUGAGGUAACGGCUCACCAAGGCGACGAGGCGUAGCCGACCUGAGAGGGUGAUCGGCCACACUGGGACUGAGACACGGCCCAGACUCCCACGGGAGGCAGCAGUAGGGAAUCUUCCACAAUGGACGAAAGUCUGAUGGAGCAACGCCGCGUGAGCGAUGAAGGCCUUCGGGUCGUAAAGCUCUGUUGUUAGGGAAGAACAAGUACCGGAGUAACUGCCGGUACCUUGACGGUACCUAACCAGAAAGCCACGGCUAACUACGUGCCAGCCGCCGCAGUAAAAC
rnacentral:rRNA from 1 species